rnacentral:rRNA from 1 species
UACAGAGACCUCAAGCGUUAUCCGGAAUCAUUGGGCGUAAAGCGUACCGAUAGGUUGUUUAUUAAGUCUUGGGUAAAAGCCGGAAGCUUAACUUCCGCGUUUGCUUAAGAUACUCAUAGACUAGAGGGGCAAAGAGGUGCUUGGAACCAACGGUGUAGUAGUGAAAUGCGUUGAUAUCGUUGGGAACACCGAAAGCGAAGGCAGAGCACUGGGUGCCACCUGACACUGCUAGGACGAAAGCGUGGGGAGCGAAUGGG